rnacentral:tRNA from 2 species
GCCGAAGUAGUUAAAUGGCAUAACAGUUGAUUCGUAAUCAUCAAUUGGGAGUUCGAUUCUCCCCUUCGGCACCA